rnacentral:siRNA from 1 species
CUCAGAUAGAGGUGCUGGAUUCG